rnacentral:rRNA from 1 species
AUCUACAGCCAUACAAUCCUGAACGUGCCCGAUCUCAUCUGAUCUUGGAAGCUAAGCAGGGUCUGGCCUGGUUAGUACUUGGAUGGGAGUAAGAACAGGUCCCAGUUGUUA